rnacentral:rRNA from 1 species
GAUGAACGCUGGCGGCGUGCCUAAUACAUGCGAGUCGAGCGAACGGACGAGAAGCUUGCUUCUCUGAUGUUAGCGGCGGACGGGUGAGUAACACGUGGAUAACCUACCUAUAAGACUGGGAUAACUUCGGGAAACCGGAGCUAAUACCGGAUAAUAUUUUGAACCGCAUGGUUCAAAAGUGAAAGACGGUCUUGCUGUCACUUAUAGAUGGAUCCGCGCUGCAUUAGCUAGUUGGUAAGGUAACGGCUUACCAAGGCAACGAUGCAUAGCCGACCUGAGAGGGUGAUCGGCCACAUUGGAACUGAGACACGGUCCAGACGCCUACGGGAGGCAGCAGUAGGGAAUCUUCCGCAAUGGGCGAAAGCCUGACGGAGCGACGCCGCGUGAGUGAUGAAGGUCUUCGGAUCGUAAAACUCUGUUAUUAGGGAAGAACAUAUGUGUAAGGAACUGUGCACAUCGUGACGGUACCUAAUCAGAAAGCCACGGCUAACUACGUG